AUUGAACGCUGGCGGCAGGCCUAACACAUGCAAGUCGAGCGGAGCGGCGGACGGGUGAGGAAUGCCUAGGAACCCGCCUGGUAGUGGGGGACAACGUUCGUAGACGGUCGCUAAUACCGUAUUUUUGCAGAUGAGCCUAGGUCGGCUUAGCUAGUUGGUGGGUUAAAGGCUUACCAAGUCGACGCUCCGUAACUGGUCUGAGAGGAUGAACAGUCACACUGGAACUGAGACACGGUCCAGAAUCAUACGGGAGGCAGCAGUGGGGAAUAUUGGACAAUGGGCGAAAGCCUGAUCCAGCCAUGCCGCGUGUGUGAAGAAGGUCUUCGGAUUGUAAAGCACUUUAAGUUGGGAGGCGUUACCAACAGAGUAAGCACCGGCUAACUUCGUGCCAGCAGCCGCGGUAAUAC
rnacentral:rRNA from 1 species